UACGGAGGGAGCUAGCGUUGUUCGGAAUUACUGGGCGUAAAGCGCACGUAGGCGGCUUUGUAAGUUAGAGGUGAAAGCCCGGAGCUCAACUCCGGAACUGCCUUUAAGACUGCAUCGCUUGAAUCCAGGAGAGGUGAGUGGAAUUCCGGGUGUAGCGGUGGAAUGCGUAGAGAUCCGGAAGAACACCGGUGGCGAAGGCGGUCUGCUGGGCAGUGGCUCGCAAGGGCCAAUAGCCGACACUGAGGCGCGACAGCGUGGGGAGCAAACAGG
rnacentral:rRNA from 1 species